rnacentral:rRNA from 1 species
UGCCAGCCGCCGCGGUAAUACGGAGGGUGCAAGCAUUAAUCGGAUUUAUUGGGCGUAAAGGGCGCGUAGGCGGACAUGCAAGUCAGAUGUGAAAUCCCGGGACUCAAUUCCGGAACUGCAUUUGAAACUGCAUGCCUUGAGGGUAGAUGGGGAAAGCGGAAUUCCACAUGUAGCGGUGAAAUGCGUAGAUAUGUGGAAGAACACCGGUGGCGAAGGCGGCUUUCUAAUUUAUUCCUGACGCUGAGGCGCGAAAGCAAGGGGAGCAAACAGGAUUAGAUA